GGGGAAGGAUGAGAAGCUUCGACUAAGGUUCGACUCGAGCGAAGCGAGAGAACGUUGCCGCAGGCAACGGCCCGAAGGGCGAGGAGCGAUAGCGACGAGUUAUCCUUCCCCCACCACCA
rnacentral:sRNA from 1 species